rnacentral:piRNA from 1 species
UAGGCUGGAUAAUUGAUGAAUGCUGGAGUC